rnacentral:rRNA from 1 species
GACGAACGCUGGCGGCGUGCCUAAUACAUGCAAGUCGAGCGCUGAAGGUUGGUACUUGUACCAACUGGAUGAGCAGCGAACGGGUGAGUAACGCGUGGGGAAUCUGCCUUUGAGCGGGGGUCACCAUUUGGAAACGAAUGCUAAUACCGCAUAAAAACUUUAAACACAAGGUUCAAGUUUGAAAGAUGCAAUUGCAUCACGCAACGAUGAGGCCGCGUUGUAUUAGCUAGUUGGUGAGGUAAAGGGUCAUCAAGGCGAUGAUACAUAGCCGACCUGGGGGGGGGAGGGGCCCCGUUGGGCUGGGGACACGGCCCAGACCCCUCCGGGGGGCAACGGUGGGGAAUCUUGGGCCAUGGACGAAAGUCUGACCGGGCGACGCGGCGUGAGGGGAGAAGGGUUUCGGUUCGGGAAACUCUGUUGGUAGAGCGGAGCGUAGGGGAGAGUGGAAAGCGCAUCAAGUGACGGUAACUGCGCAGAAAGCGACGGCUAACUACGUG